UAAUACGUAGGGUGCGAGCGUUAAUCGGAAUUACUGGGCGUAAAGCGUGCGCAGGCGGUUAUAUAAGGCAGAUGUGAAAUCCCCGGGCUCAACCUGGGAACUGCAUUAGUGACUGUAUAGCUAGAGUGCGGCAGAGGGGGAUGGAAUUCCGCGUGUAGCAGUGAAAUGCGUAGAUAUGCGGAGGAACACCGAUGGCGAAGGCAAUCCCCUGGGCCUGCACUGACGCUCAUGCACGAAAGCGUGGGGAGCAAACAGGAUUAGAUACCCUGGUAGUCCACGCCCUAAACGAUGUCAACUGGUUGUUGGGCCUUCACUGGCUCAGUAACGAAGCUAACGCGUGAAGUUGACCGCCUGGGGAGUACGGCCGCAAGGUUAAAACUCAAAGGAAUUGACGGGGACCCGCACAAGCGGUGGAUGAUGUGGUUUAAUUCGAUGCAACGCGAAAAACCUUACCCACCUUUGACAUGUACGGAAGAUCGCAGAGACGCGAUUGUGC
rnacentral:rRNA from 1 species